rnacentral:rRNA from 1 species
UACGGAGGGUGCGAGCGUUGUCCGGAAUCACUGGGCGUAAAGGGCGCGUAGGUGGCCUGAUAAGGGUGUGGUGAAAGUCCGGGGCUCAACCCCGAGUCGGCCGUGCGAACUGGGCUCACUGGAGCAUAGUAGAGGCAGGUGGAAUUCCGGGUGUAGCGGUGGAAUGCGUAGAGAUCCGGAAGAACACCGGUGGCGAAGGCGGCCUGCUGGGCAGUGGCUGACGCUGAGGCGCGACAGCGUGGGGAGCAAACAGG